UGCUGCUAUAGCGCGAAGAAUCGACACGGCGGUCUGCAAGCCGAAUUUGUGGGGGAAAUGGCGGUGUCAAAACCGUCCAUGGCAUCACCACACCGACAAGAAUUUGCCUGAAUUUCGGCGGGCUCAAACAUAACGUUAAUAUCACGGCGAGGAGACCCGCAAUGUAAAGGACUACACGUGAAGACAUCCCAACUAGAGAAGACGCAAACAGAAGGACGGCCUGUAUCAGAAAUAUGACAAGGAUGAAGGAUGUAGGAUGCAAGAAGCAGGGGAGGAGACAUCUCUCAGCAUCUUCCAGGACCUUAUCGUUGCCUUCAACUACACGUCUAAUGGAAAGGGCUUUAAGGGAUAGAAAAAGGCUAGUGAUUUGUGAUGUGCAUUAAGUAGCUUUUAAUUUUGGCACCAAACUUAGAAUCCCCUCUGUGUAUCUGAGGCAUUGUCGACAGGGAUAAUUGCAGUUUCUUGAUUGUUGGCAAAGUGGUUGAGUUUGCUUUGGUGACAUCCUGAGUGACAUUGCUGGUUGGGGGUUGCGGCAUUUUGAGGGUUUUGGCUCCUUUUGCACGCAUGGCUUUAGUCUGUUUCUGUGGGAUACAGGUCCGAUGUAUGGUUGAUUUGGUUUCUGUGACUAUGCCGAGGGCUGGGAUUGAGUUCGGAGUUGCUGCAGAGUUCAGUCCUCUAGAAAACGGAGACUUCCCUACGUUCUGUCAGCCCAUGAUUAUUCAGGUAUCUUGUACUGCCUGACUUUCUUUCUGCAUUACGUGAUUGUCAGUGGGUCGGGAACCCUGACCAUUACAUAAGCUGCCUUGUGUUAGAAAUAAUAGGGGUGGGGGAGAGAAGAAUCAUCUGGCUUGGGUAUCCGUUAGUCUUGAGAUCCCGAACCGAGACUACGGCACAUGGCCAGAAGGGAAGACAGGAAGAUGAAGUGCCUAAGUGAUCAUGAGCUAACAGAACUGGGGAAGUCACUGUUUUCUGGUGGGCUGAACUUUGUAGUUACCUCUGAGCGCCAUUCCGGUCGUCAGCGUGGGUACAGAAGCUGAUCAGGCCAAGCGUUGGACCUGGUUGCCACAGGAACGGGUUGAAGCACUGUGUGCAGAAGUAACCAUUGCUCUCAAGGUGUCCUAAUCCCUUGCCAGUGCCAUCACAUAGGCUGUUGUCAACAUUCUCAUUACACCUUGCCGACAACCAAGUGAUUGUGAUUCUCCCUGCCGGUGAUGCCUCGGGUAGACAGAGGGGAUUGUUACCUAUUAAAGCUUGGACUGAAGCUACAUCACAGAUCAGUAACGUCCUGCCAUCGCCCCAUCAGCAGCAUUCCUCUGGAGGAAAAACAAGGUCAAGUCUGUAAAUGAAGUUCUUGUUAAAGAUCUUCAAAGAAUGCAAUGUAUCAUUUGACAACCAUUAUGUAUGAUGAUAGACAAGUGUUGCUCAGGUUACUAUAUGUUCAUGUUAAGUCUUUUGCCAUCUUCCUGGAUGAAGCUAAGUUUUUGUUAUGGGGUUGUUUAUGGAAAUAUUAUAGUUGCCUGCUAUUUAGCUACAUUCCUCCUACUUACCAGCUGUGAGAUGUCAAAGGCAUGUUUUUAUUUCUUGAAAUGUCCCUUUGAAUACUAGUAGCCAAGAUUUCCUAACUUGUAAAUGUCCUUUUUUAGGAUUAUGUUGUAGCUGUCUAGUUUUAAGAUAACCUUUUAAGAUCAGUGCAGUUUAUGCCAAAAAAGUUAUUCAAGCAACUGGAUAUGAUUUUGGAAACGGUCAAUUGUUUCAGGUAGCAUACACUUGCACUACUUUCGUCAGUGGCACUAGAGACUGCAGGAGAAAUGCAGAUUUAUCAUAUCCAGUUGCUUGUGUAACUGUUUUUCGGCGUAUCUUUAUUACCCGAAUGUCUAACCUUGACCAACGUAACUGCAACUUAGUUUAAGAAUAGUUGUAGUCUAGUUGUAGUCUAGUUGUAGUCUAGUUGUACCCUAGUGUUGAGAAUAGUUGUAGUGCAGUGCCGAGAAUAGUUGUAGUCCAGUGUUAAGAAUAGUUGUAGGUUAGUUGUAGCCUAGUGUUGUAGUCUAGUGUUAAGGUUAGUUGUAGUCUAAAGCUUUAAUUAAAGUCUUUUGUUCCCACUUAGCCUUUAUUUUUAGUGUAUUUUGCCUCUAUUCUAGUACAAGUAGUGGCCACCUUGUCCUAGAAUGGAUCCAAAAUAUAUUAAUACAUUGGUUUUGAGAGCAAAGGUCUUUACAUAAAGUAGGCUGCUGUAGGGUAGUUAUAAUCAGGUUAGGUUUAAGGUCUUAGGCAUUGUUGUGAGUUUUUGAAACUUAGCUUUCAAAAUGUCACUCAACCUGAGCAACACACUGUACACUUAAUAAACA